rnacentral:rRNA from 1 species
GAGCACUGUUUCGGCAAGGGGGUCAUCCCGACUUACCAACCCGAUGCAAACUGCGAAUACCGGAGAAUGUUAUCACGGGAGACACACGGCGGGUGCUAACGUCCGUCGUGAAGAGGGAAACAACCCAGACCGCCAGCUAAGGUCCCAAAGUCAUGGUUAAGUGGGAAACGAUGUGGGAAGGCCCAGACAGCCAGGAUGUUGGCUUAGAAGCAGCCAUCAUUUAAAGAAAGCGUAAUAGCUCACUGGUCGAGUCGGCCUGCGCGGAAGAUGUAACGGGGCUAAACCAUGCACCGAAGCUGCGGCAGCGACGCUGAUGCGUUGUUGGGUAGGGGAGCGUUCUGUAAGCCUGUGAAGGUGUGCUGUGAGGCAUGCUGGAGGUAUCAGAAGUGCGAAUGCUGACAUAAGUAACGAUAAAGCGGGUGAAAAGCCCGCUCGCCGGAAGACCAAGGGUUCCUGUCCAACGUUAAUCGGGGCAGGGUGAGUCGACCCCUAAGGCGAGGCCGAAAGGCGUAGUCGAUGGGAAACAGGUUAAUAUUCCUGUACUUGGUGUUACUGCGAAGGGGGGACGGAGAAGGCUAUGUUGGCCGGGCGACGGUUGUCCCGGUUUAAGCGUGUAGGCUGGUUUUCCAGGCAAAUCCGGAAAACUAAGGCUGAGGCGUGAUGACGAGGCACUACGGUGCUGAAGCAACAAAUGCCCUGCUUCCAGGAAAAGCCUCUAAGCAUCAGGUAACAUCAAAUCGUACCCCAAACCGACACAGGUGGUCAGGUAGAGAAUACCAAGGCGCUUGAGAGAACUCGGGUGAAGGAACUAGGCAAAAUGGUGCCGUAACUUCGGGAGAAGGCACGCUGAUAUGUAGGUGAAGUCCCUCGCGGAUGGAGCUGAAAUCAGUCGAAGAUACCAGCUGGCUGCAACUGUUUAUUAAAAACACAGCACUGUGCAAACACGAAAGUGGACGUAUACGGUGUGACGCCUGCCCGGUGCCGGAAGGUUAAUUGAUGGGGUCAGCGCAAGCGAAGCUCUUGAUCGAAGCCCCGGUAAACGGCGGCCGUAACUAUAACGGUCCUAAGGUAGCGAAAUUCCUUGUCGGGUAAGUUCCGACCUGCACGAAUGGCGUAAUGAUGGCCAGGCUGUCUCCACCCGAGACUCAGUGAAAUUGAACUCGCUGUGAAGAUGCAGUGUACCCGCGGCAAGACGGAAAGACCCCGUGAACCUUUACUAUAGCUUGACACUGAACAUUGAGCCUUGAUGUGUAGGAUAGGUGGGAGGCUUUGAAGUGUGGACGCCAGUCUGCAUGGAGCCGACCUUGAAAUACCACCCUUUAAUGUUUGAUGUUCUAACGUUGACCCGUAAUCCGGGUUGCGGACAGUGUCUGGUGGGUAGUUUGACUGGGGCGGUCUCCUCCUAAAGAGUAACGGAGGAGCACGAAGGUUGGCUAAUCCUGGUCGGACAUCAGGAGGUUAGUGCAAUGGCAUAAGCCAGCUUGACUGCGAGCGUGACGGCGCGAGCAGGUGCGAAAGCAGGUCAUAGUGAUCCGGUGGUUCUGAAUGGAAGGGCCAUCGCUCAACGGAUAAAAGGUACUCCGGGGAUAACAGGCUGAUACCGCCCAAGAGUUCAUAUCGACGGCGGUGUUUGGCACCUCGAUGUCGGCUCAUCACAUCCUGGGGCUGAAGUAGGUCCCAAGGGUAUGGCUGUUCGCCAUUUAAAGUGGUACGCGAGCUGGGUUUAGAACGUCGUGAGACAGUUCGGUCCCUAUCUGCCGUGGGCGCUGGAGAACUGAGGGGGGCUGCUCCUAGUACGAGAGGACCGGAGUGGACGCAUCACUGGUGUUC